UUUCCUUCUUGCUUAUCUCCUUCAAGCUGCUGGGACUGGGGUAGUCCCCAGGAUGCUGCCUCACUGGCUCCCCCAGCCCCAAACGCCCCACUUCCACAUCCAGAACGUUGUGGGCACUUUCACUUUGCCCUCUUCCCUCCGUGUAGUUCAUCCUUAGUCUGAGAGUCAGUGGCUCAGAUGGUCCUGUUAGACUUCCAGAGGCUUCUGUACCAACCCGGCCUACAAGCAGGAGCAGCAGGGCAGACCCCCUCACUGUACCCUCAGCAUGACACAGAUGCCACCAUCAAGAAGUGAGAGCUUCCAGCCUGUGGGCAGCCAGCAUCCUUUCAACUCACCCACCAUUACCAUUAGACUUGAAGGCCAAUCUCUCCCACUUCCUUUCCCCCCAAUAGAGGAGCAGUGUAAGGCUGGAAGGUAUAAAACCCACCCAUCUGCUGACUCCGACUUCACUGAAGAAACCGGCGAGCU
rnacentral:lncRNA from 1 species